ensembl:lncRNA
AUACAGCUCACGGCAAGUACUGGUUCACACAGUUCGUUCUCGAGGUGCUCACUCUCUUUCUCUUCCUCCACAGGCAACGGCUGGGACACAAAAGCACAGUUAAUUCGGCUUGGUUUUGCUCUCACCUCUUCGCUGAUUGCAGCUCACAGUAAGUACUGGUUCACACAGUUCGUUCCUUGGGUGCUCACUCGCUUUCUCUUUCUCCACAGGCAGCGGCGUAAGUACAGGUUUCCUCGGUCUCUCCUCGUGUUACCCACUCUCUCUCCUUUUCUCUCCACAGGCAACGGCUGGGACACAAAAGCACAGUUAAUUCGGCUUGGUUUUGCUCUCACCUCUUCGCUGAUUGCAGCUCACAGUAAGUACUGGUUCACACAGUUCGUUCCUUGGGUGCUCACUCGCUUUCUCUUUCUCCACAGGCAGCGGCGUAAGUACAGGUUUCCUCGGUCUCUCCUCGUGUUACCCACUCUCUCUCCUUUUCUCUCCACAGAUAUCAACUUGGGCACAAUAGCACAGUUAGUUUGCUUUGAAUGGCUCUCACCUCUGGGCUGAACACAGCGUACUGUAAGUACAGGUUCCCUCUGGUUCUCCUUGUGUUACUCACUCUCUCUUUCCUUUCCUCUCCACAGGUAUCAACUUGGACACAAAGCACAGUUACUCUGCUUUGGAUGGCUUUCACCUCUGGGCUGGACACAGCGUACCGUGCUAUCUCCGGAGAUCUGAAGCACGCUCACAACAUAUACUGUACUGAACUAGGCUAGGACCAGCAGUCUCCUUGUCCUCCCGCGACGAAGUGCAUGAAGGCGGGGGUUUAUCUGACAGGACACACGACAAUACACAGCAGCCCACAGCAAUAUACAACACCACGUCAAAAUUAUAGGUUUUCACAGCACGAAGACUCACCCACCACACUCAGUGUACGAAAAGGACACCCGUCUUCCUUCACUUCGCUUGGUUCGGAUCUGGCGAUGGAAUAUGCGGCCUAGCUAGUGAUGUCGUCGUUGUGACUACUUCAAUAAGUAUUCCUUCGGCUCUCCCACCACGCUAUAUUAGGGGUAGGGCCGCCCUCCUCCUCCUGGAGAGAUCUACACAACGCCAGGUCAAUAUACAGGGCACUUUCGACUGGUUCUUAGUACUCACAUCAAUGCCGCUUCCAAUCCCCUUUUUCACGUCAUCUCAGUUCGCCGUAUAAUCCGUUCACUUCUCAACCUUUAAGGUUCGCGAUGUCUUCACAAUCAUACAAUUCCAGCCUGAGGGAGAGAGAGAGAGUUAGACAGCCACCAGCAGCGCACCAAGACGGGCACAACACAGUGCUUCACACACACCAGAAAGAGCUCCCAGACUGUGAAAUAACUUGGCCUUAAGUACUGCCUUGUCCAGCGUAUCCUCCAAUCACCAACCGCUGUCCCUAACUAGGCACAGGUGCAUCGAAUUCCCUGAUUUUCCUUCUUACGGCGCUACCGGAAGUUCCGGUGUUCUGUUUUUCCGGUCCGGGCGGAAACACUUCCGGGCGGAACCAAACUUCCCGAAUUUUGGUUCCGCCCCUAAAGAUCGUCACCUUGUGACAUCGGUUGUCAAAAUUUUAUCUGCCAUUAAAUAGUCAGUUAUAGGCUUUUUAAUGAAACAAUGAAAGAGGAAAAAUGUAAAGGGGAGCAUUCAAAAUCUUUGUUGUGUCAAGAAAAAGUAAGCAGUCACUUCAAGUUCCUCCGAGUAAAUACAUUUCUGACGAAGGCAGUGCAGCAUGGGACCUGUUACAUUGUGUUUCCAGGGGGGACAGUAUAAUGGUGCACCUCUGAGAGCACAUGCAGGUGGAAAAGUUUGGCGUAGGUCUUUUCACUGACAAACAAAGGACUUGCAUUCAGCUCAAAUUCAAGCCUGAAGGUGUAACUGGUAUGAACAUUGUUAGUCAAUCCAGUUAUGUUAAUGUAAAAUAUCAGUUUUGAAGUUGUACAAUUUCAGUAGUCCUACUGUGUUUAAAUGUUGUGAACUUUAAUUGUUUGAUGGAAUUUGUUACAGUACUGAUUGAUGCAAAGUUUUGUUUGAUUUAUGUUGAACAUUGAGAACUAUUACUAUUUCAUUUUGAAAGGUGUGUUUUAGGUUUGCAACAUUAUAGUUUAUUGUUUAUAGUAUAGUAUUGUUUAUUAUCAAGGCAUUAAACUUAUUUAUUUGAUGUGAUUUAGUUGAUUACAGUUAAUAUAUUGAUGUUGAAUUAUGGAAGAAAAAUAAUGACAAAUUAAAAAAAAAAAGCAUGUUGAAUUGCAC